rnacentral:rRNA from 1 species
CUACGGGUUGCUGCAGUGAGGAAUAUUGCACAAUGGGGGGAACCCUGAUGCAGCAACGCCGCGUGGAGGAUGACGCAUUUCGGUGUGUAAACUCCUUUCAUAUGUCAAGAAAAUGACGGUAGCAUAUGAAUAAGCACCGGCUAACUCCGUGCCAGCAGCCGCGGUAAUACGGAGGGUGCAAGCGUUACUCGGAAUCACUGGGCGUAAAGGACGCGUAGGCGGGUUGGAAAGUCAGGUGUGAAAUCCUACAGCUUAACUGUAGAACUGCGCUUGAAACUUCUAAUCUAGAGUAUGGGAGGGGAGAUGGAAUUAGUGGUGUAGGGGUAAAAUCCGUAGAUAUCACUAGGAAUACCUAAAGCGAAGGCGAUCUCCUGGAACAUUACUGACGCUAAGGCGUGAAAGCGUGGGGAGCAAACAGGAUUAGAUACCCUCGUAGUC